rnacentral:rRNA from 1 species
GAUGAACGCUGGCGGCAUGCCUAAGACAUGCAAGUCGUACGAAGCGGCCCAUUGAAGAUUGCGUGCUUGCACAAAAUUGGAUUUGGAUUACCGCUUAGUGGCAAACGGGUGAGUAACACGUGGGUUACCUACCUCUAAGUCGGGGAUAACAAUUGGAAACGAUUGGUAAUACCGGAUGUGCUCUACGGAGUAAAGAACCCCUUAAAGGUUCGCUUAGAGAUGGGCCUGCGGCGCAUUAGCUAGUUGGUGAGAUAACGGCCCACCAAGGCGACGAUGCGUAGCCGAACUGAGAGGUUGAUCGGCCACAUUGGGACUGAGACACGGCCCAGACUCCUACGGGAGACAGCAGUUAGGAAUAUUCGGUCAAAUGGGGGAAACCCUGAACGAGCAAUGCCGCGUGAGUGAUGACGGUCCUCUGGAUUGUAAAGCUCUAUCAGCAGGGAAGAAAAUGACGGUACCUGACUAAGAAGCUCCGGCUAAAUACGUGCCAGCAGCCG